ensembl:snRNA U1 U1 spliceosomal RNA
AUACUUACUGGCAGGGGAGAUACCAUGACCACGAAGGUAGUUUUCCGAGGAUAAGGCUUAUCCAUUGCACCCUAGAUGUGCUGGCCCUUGCGAUUUCCCCAAAUGUGGGAAACCUGAUUGCAUAAUUUGUAGUAGUAGGGCACUGCAUUCGUGCUUAA